rnacentral:piRNA from 1 species
UAGGAGCCUCUGCAACCUCGCAU